UACUGGGUCUUUGUGUGGAAGUGGAAGUGAAAAGCACAGAGUCGCAGCGAGCGAGCGGAGGGACAGCUUCUGCUCCCGUCCCCCUGCCUUCUGGGCCCCGGGACUCCCAGACAGCCCUACAGCUGUCCCAGCCUCCUGGGGGUUGGUUCGCCAGCUCCACUGGAGACCUAAGCUUACCUAAGUAAUUUAAAACCUCAGCAUUUACAACAUAAAGGCACCACAAGAUCUCUCCGACAUUAAGCUUUGGUAAGAUUUUAUUUGGAGGAAUUUUAUUUUAAAAUGUAAUAUCCUUUUCCUUUCUUUGGCAAAUAGAAUCAGGGAGAACUUGGAUGGAACUCUGCUGCUUAUGAAAAGUCUCACCCUGUUCGUAUAAGCAAGUCUGUCACCCUUGAUCGGAACGUAAUAAUUCAUAAAGCUUAACGUUAUUAUCAUCCCUCUGCCUGGAGUGAUAGAUAUUCUUGAGGUCUCUUAAAUAAAAAGUCUAAAAUUGAAUUUGCAACUCAAAAGAUUGGUGGGUUCAAAUGCUAGUUUCCUGCUGAGUAACUGUGAAAACAAUUCUAAAGUAGCCAGUAGUGUGUUGGGAAUGGCAGUUUUAUUAAAUGUCUUGAUGGAGUGCAAUGAAAACACGCUCUCGCUGUCUUUAUGCAGACUUUCCCUCUACAAAAAUAAUAGUUUUCUUAUAGACGUGAUUGUUCGCCGUAGCUCUGUUUAUUUGGUUAUCCUUCCAGUGUAGGUUGUCUGCAAAGAGUUUUCAAUAAGAAGAUAGGAUUUGUUUUUAAUAGCAGCAGACCAAUAAGGUUCUCCCGCGGAGACUGGUUGUAUGACGCUGCUCGGAGAUUACGGGUUUGCAUCUCAUCAUCUCGUGUGUAGACUGAAGUCUUAAACUAUCCAUUCGGUCCCAAGUAGGGCCACUGGGCAUUAUGUUCUUGUGGGGAUGAGCCUUCCAGCAUCAUGGAUCCUCAGUGAAGUCCUUGAAGGAAGAGAAAACCAUGCAACAUGUGCAUAUGUCCCAUGUAGAGAUCUUCAUAAACAAGACCUGGAUCAUCCCUCUCUUUCUGGGUAAGGAUGUAACUUUGUGCGAACGAGAAGAGCAUUACUCUAAUCAAGAUGUGCCCGUUUUUUUUUUGUUUGUUUGUUUGUUUGUUUUUGUUUUUUUGUUUUUUUUUAACCUUCAAGAUUUUAUUUAUUUAUUUAUUUGAGAGGGAGAGAGAGAGAGAGAGAGAGAGAUAGGCUGAGCAGGGGGAGGAGUAGAGGGUUCCCUGCUGAGCAGAACCCGAUGUGGGGCUCAAUCCACAUCCAUCCACAUAACCCCGUGAUUAUGACCUGAGCCAAAGACAGACGCUUACCCGACUGAGCCACCCAGGUGCCCGAUGUUGCACAUUCUUGCUCAGGUGACACCGGAGACCGUAGAGGGUCAGGAAGGUCCAGACUGCCAACUUGCUGGCCCAGUAAGUGCAUCCUCGAGUUUUCUGGCAAGAUGCAGACGAAGCCCUUACACGAG
rnacentral:lncRNA from 12 species